CUGGGCUUGAAGUACUUGCCAAUACUAGGAGUACUAGUGCCUCUUUUUCUUCCUCUGAUUGCUGUAGCACGGUGAGGUUGGGGGGCUGCUGUACCACUCUUUGAGGCAUCACAAGCUGCUGCUUCUUCUUCUUCUCCAGGAUCAACCUUUGAACAUGCCUUGCUGUUUCCUGGGUAAUGGGCUAGAUGUUCCUUGAAGCGAUGGAUGCCGCCUCCACCAAAAACCAUGUUACAGUACAUGCACUUGAUCUUCUUUUUUCCUUCUUCAGUAAAUUGUGUACAAUAACCCCAUGCUGGAUCAGUUUUUCUUCUUGUCUUUGCUUCUACUGCUACCUGAACACUAGGCGUUGGGUUUGAGCUGCUGUCAGUUGGAGUUGGGGUGUCUGAAGAACCUACUGCAUAUGCAAAGAAAUAAAUAGUGACGAAGAUAGUCAAUAAUACAUGGAAGAACUGAGCUAGGAACUAUAUUAAUAUUUGAGCUGAGUACUGCAUAGUUACGCAAUGUAAGAAUAUAAACUAAAAUAUGCACUUGCAAUUUGCAAACUAACUCCGACCUUCAGAACUAGAAAACGGCAAUGCAGUGACUAAUUAAUAAAAAAAUCUAUCUACCUUGACGGGAUCCUAAAUUCCUAAUAGGACUAGAUCUCCACUUCACAUUCAGUACAGCAAUACGCAUGGAUUUUCUAAUUUAGGCACUCACCGUUUGCCAUGUCUUGCCGUCCGGAAGCUUCUGUAGAGUGCAGAUGCAGACAGUAGUCUGCUUGAGCUUGCGCUUGGUGCUUGCUGCUGCUUGCCGGCCUCUGCUUGAGCUGACGUUGGGAGCCUCUGCCUGCCGGCCGGAUCUGCAGCCUGCUGUGCCACGGCGGCACAGAACCAGGGAGACAGCCAGACAAGAGAAGAUGCGCCACCCGUCGGGGGACCAAGGAGCGUGGAGUAGGCACAACGCCGGCCGCCGGGAAGACUAGUAAGGAACUGGAGAGGCCACCGUCGGGGAAGAGGCGAAGCCGCGCAGGGCCGGCUGCCGGCAGGGGAUCUCUCGCUCUCUUUUUUAGAGCGCCGCCAGCCGCCGCCCUCUGGCUCUGGCUCUGGCCUUUUGUGAAUGAAAUUUUCCCUCCCUCUCGUAGCCCUAAAUCGCUGGGAAGUAAGUGUUCCCGUUUAUACCCCUAGCUAGAUAAGGUUCUGCUGAACACAUGGAGGGGUAACAUGUGCCUACAAUCAAAACCGCUCCGGUUCGUAUGGAACCGGCCAGUUCCCGGUUCGUAUGGAACCGGCCGGUUCACUGGUUCCGCAAAAAACCAGCGGUCCACCCGGUUUUUUCUAGUCCGAUUACACGGACAAUCUUUUAAGUGAACCGGACCGUUGGACUCUCUUGUUUGCGGUUUUUCCGGUCGAACCGCCGGUCCGGUCCGGUUCUAAUAAUUAUGGUUCUAAUAACUAUGCUUGGAAGGGUUAUGUGGGUUUGGCUGCGCCACGUCUCCUGAUAUUUCUAAAGUUUGGAAGAUGCACUGUGGAUUCGGCUACGCCACGUCCCUCUCCUGAUAUUUCUACUUGCUGAGGCAAUCGAACACAUUCUGUAUUAAUAAUUAAUUUGCAUAGGUAAUAAUUUUCAAAUAUUGACUAGGAGGCAAGCCAGAGUGUCUACAGAUAUUUAGGGGCAUCUAUCAUCAUCAAAAGUGAAAUAAUAGAUGGUUUGAGUGGUCAAGAAAAGAAACUCUAACUGUCUUUUUCUUUUCUAGCGACAGUAUUAUCCUAGCCGCUAGAAGUAGUUAGGCGGCCACUUCCAUGACCAGCGAUUAAUCUUGACUAAUCAUUGUUUAAUCGGUCUAAUUGUGUGUGUCUAGGAUCACGAUGUCUACACUACAAGAAAAGUAAGUAUCCGUGACGAAAAUUAUUAUGAUAGAUGUUAGAAAUGUCAUAGAAUAACGGCUAUUCUGUGACGAUUUUAGUAUUUUCGUCAAAAAGUUGAGGCUAUCAGUAAUUUGUGACGAACAGGAAUUUAUCGUCAUAAAAGAUUCAAUAAUUUGUGAUGAUUUUAAAUAUUUGUCAUGGAAAAGCUAAUCAUUUAUGACGAUUAAUUUAUGACCAAUGUGUUUUUGUCAAAAAAAAAGUACAAAACUAUGAAUAUGCCCAAUAUGUUAUUUUUGUAUGUUACUUCAAAAACAGUGAAAUAAAAUGAAAAAAUAUAUAGAAAAGGAAUGAAAUAGACCAUCUAACUACGGCCCUGUUUGGAAACGCGGCACACAGAAUCACGAUGCGUUUAAACGAAACGCGGCCCUUCCCUCGCUUCUCGCUUCUCGCGGCGCGCAGUUCAUUUUUCCGUUUUUUCUGCCGAGCGCGACUGCUAAACGCGCGUCGGCCGCAACCUGUUCGGCGGGAUUUUUCGGCUUCUUCCGCUCAAAAGCAUCGCGGAAGCCGAACCAAACAGGGCCUACUUCAGUCCACGAUCAGCCCACAACGAAGGGCACGUUGUUACCAUCAGAUCAAAUUGGACGACCAGGAUGCUCCGUGCUCGGAAUAAAUAUCUCUUGCCAGCUACUGGCGAAAACCUACCCACUGCUCACACCUCCUCUCUCCUCCCCUCCAGAUCCACCCACUACUCCCAGAUCCACCCGUCACGAGAUCCACCCUAUUCCUCUGCUCAGGAUUCAUGGCGCGGCUGCUCUUGCCGACCCCCACCUCGCCGGUCAAGUCCGAGCGGGCUACAGCGCCGGUGCCGGUGGGGUAGGCGAGCGGAGGAUCUCGGCAGCGGCGGCGGCAUCUGCAAGAGCGGCGGCAGCACCCGGGCCGCCGACUGGCUUGGGCCUGCGGCGACGGCCCCUGCGGUGGGCUGGUUAGGUGCCGGGCGAGCGUGAUGCUGCUUCCGGCCGUGCGGCAGUCCUCUCAAGGCGAGCAGGUGAGCAUUUGAGAGAGCGGCACGUCGUCAGGCAGCAUCUGCGAAAGGGGGCUCCAGCAUCUGGUGCUCUUCAGCGGAAGCAAGUUUGAACUAUGGGAUGUAACAAUUCUUUAAAAAAUUAUGGAAUGAAACUUCCCUGCAGCUGAUUGCAUUCAGUUAUUUUAUCGAGUAUCGUGGACUUAUUUCCAAGCUCAAGAGUGUCGACAUCUGAAUGGUCAGCAUUCUCCAGGGUCUUAGCUGCACACUCUGCACACCAUUUGUUCACAUUCUAUUCUUUUAUGUAUAUUUAUAUGUAUAUGGUGGUUGAAAAUACUUGUGUGACCAAGUGAUGUUUUAUGAAAUGGUUGUAACGGCACGUGUUGUAUAAAUAAAGCAAUUCUAGGAUAAUUAUAUGUAUUUAUUGUUUUGCGUGGUUUUUAUUUGUCAUCCAUAUGUAUUUUGAAUAACCUUUUAUGGCACUGUGGAGAUCUUUUUCGUCACAGAAUGGCCAUGCGUGCAGAGGGUUUGUGA